CCUUGUGUUUUAAAGUGAUUGUGGGCUUCCCAUACCCUAGACAUGAAUACUACAGGGAAAGAAUGCCAAAAGCUAUCCCCAUGUUUGGGAGACCCACUCCUGUCCUUACCAGAUCCUGGUGCUUUUGAACC